rnacentral:rRNA from 1 species
AAUCUUCCGCAAUGGACGAAAGUCUGACGGAGCAACGCCGCGUGAGUGAUGAAGGUUUUCGGAUCGUAAAACUCUGCUUUUAGGGAAGAACAAGUACCGGAGUCCCUGCCGGUAACUUGACGGUACCAGACGAAAAAGCCAGCGCUAACUACGGACCUGCAGCCGCGGUAAUACGUAGGUGGCAAGCGUUGUCCGGAUUUAUAGGGCUUCAAGCGGGCGCAGGCGGUUUUUUAAGUCUGAUGUGAAAUCUUACAGCUUAACUGUAAGCGGUCAUUGGAAACUGGGAGGCUUGAAUGCAGAAGAGGAGAAGGGAAUUCCAUGUGUAGCGGUGAAAUGCGUAAAAAUAUGGAGGAACACCAAUGGCGAAGGCGACUCUCUGGUCUGUAACUGACGCUGAGGCGCGAAAGCGUGGGGAUCAAACA